rnacentral:lncRNA from 1 species
UCUCUGCUCUCCUCUCCCUCCCGGUUACGACCGAAGCGUCCCUACGGGCUCAGCUUUGAGGAAACCCACGGUUUUCUCUUAAAUCUUCCUCUUUCCCAAAGGUAAGCCUUCCCAAACUAUAAUUACUUCAUAAUCCAUUAAUCCAUCGGCAAUAGCUUGUUGCUGUAGCAGUUAUCGUGUGGUGGAAAAGCCUUUGUUCGUCGAUGACUCUCCUUCCCCCCUCCCUCUUCUCUCCCUCCACCGAAUACUUUAUCCACUCCUCUCAAUUCUCCAAACCCUCUAUCCUUCUCCUUCCCAUCAAGAACAACUCCUGUCAGACAAUCCAUUCCGACUCUCUUCAAACUCCCAAAAGAGCACUCAAAUCACUUCGGUCUGCGAAUGAUUAUGUAAUUGAAGCACGAGAUCCCAAAAUUUGGAGGCAAUUAGAUUAGCAUGGAUAACUUAACUACAUGAAGUAUUUAUUCUUCUUCAGGUAGUAGAGAAACAUCAUCAUAUGAUUCUUUGCUGGAUAGUGGUUAAUUAAAUGAAAGUUGCAUAUGAAAUCAAUGAUCUCCAUCUUUACUUGGCAUCAAUAGCGCUGUUUUGCUCCUAUUCUUAGUUUUGCGCAUUUUGUAUAUUAUGUCUUGGAUUAGCUUAUUUCUACUCUCUCUUCAUCAUCAUUCUUCAACAUUUAAGCGCACCACAAUAGACUAAAACUUCUAUGUAAAAUAUUGCAUCUACUUCCUAGAAUAUAUAGUUAUGAAAUAGAGAUUGAAAAGGGUGGAAAAUAAACUGGACAAGGUCAAGUAUUAAAUUUGUUAAUAAUAAGUGAGGGAAUGUCUUCAAUUGAUAUUAAACAAAUUUAUCUAUUCUCGAUGCGUUGGUGCUUCUUUGUAUGUCAGGUAUUAAAUCAUAAUAAUUGAGGAAAUGUUGUAAAUUGAUAAUGAACUAAUUUAUCUAUUUGCAAUACUGAGGUUCUUUGUAUGUUUAGAAAAGAAGGAUGGUAGAAUGUUUAAGAGUCAAGGAUUUGCUUUUCCAGCUGAGGAUUCUGACUGAAGAUUCCGAGCUUCUUAAUGUUAUUAGAAUUAAGAAAUAUGAAUUAUAUUUCUGUAUAUCCUUCCGUCUUAGACCCUAACUCCACCUAAUUAGCACCUUGUCUGAAUCCAUAGAAUCCAAAAUUUUCACUUUAUCUGCUUCCCAUUUAACGAUGAUGGAUUUGGAUAGCAAACAUAUUUCUGUAGGCUCCAAUAUCAUGAUGCAUUUUUGGAUUUAUCACGUUGCUUAUCAAAUGAUGGUAUCAGAGUUAGAUAAAAUUUCUCUGUGAUUUUGUCACGUGAAGGUCAUGGCCAGACUUUAGUAUGAUGUAAUGUUGUUAUGACAGUAAUGUUAUUAUUUACUAGAUAGGACCAUAGCAUCUUCUGAAAAAUAUGCUUAUGCCAAAAUUUCUGUUACAUGACUCAUUAGGAAAGAGGUCACUUUGAAGCUUAUGAAGGAUGCUUCACAGUUUAAGAAAGCAGAGAUAGGGAAAACAUCCACUUUUCUAACUGAAUCUUUCCUUUUGCAAGAAGCAAGGUGAAGGCUAUGAUCUCUGUUCUUGCAACUUUUGGUAAAAGUAUGCAAUGAAGUUUGUGAAGACCAACUAAUACUUAAUAAACCUGC